rnacentral:rRNA from 1 species
ACGCUCGACACCUACGGGAGUCAGCAGUGAGGAAUAUUGGUCAAUGGGCGCUAGCCUGAACCAGCCAAGUAGCGUGAAGGAUGAAGGCUCUAUGGGUCGUAAACUUCUUUUAUAUAAGAAUAAAGUGCAGUAUGUAUACUGUUUUGUAUGUAUUAUAUGAAUAAGGAUCGGCUAACUCCGUACAGCAGCCGCGGUAAUCUGAGCGGGCUGGCAAGGC